UCUUCCCUCUUUCUUCGUGCCUAAUACAUGCAAGUCGAGCGAACAGACGAGGAGCUUGCUCCUCUGACGUUAGCGGCGGACGGGUGAGUAACACGUGGAUAACCUACCUAUAAGACUGGGAUAACUUCGGGAAACCGGAGCUAAUACCGGAUAAUAUAUUGAACCGCAUGGUUCAAUAGUGAAAGACGGUUUUGCUGUCACUUAUAGAUGGAUCCGCGCCGCAUUAGCUAGUUGGUAAGGUAACGGCUUACCAAGGCAACGAUGCGUAGCCGACCUGAGAGGGUGAUCGGCCACACUGGAACUGAGACACGGUCCAGACUCCUACGGGAGGCAGCAGUAGGGAAUCUUCCGCAAUGGGCGAAAGCCUGACGGAGCAACGCCGCGUGAAUGAUGAAGGUCUUCGGAUCGUAAAACUCUGUUAUUAGGGAAGAACAAAUGUGUAAGUAACUAUGCACGUCUUGACGGUACCUAAUCAGAAAGCCACGGCUAACUACGUG
rnacentral:rRNA from 1 species